CCUCAACUUACUCAACAGCUGUAACCUCCCACCAUAGAGGAGCUCAGUGUUUGAGACAGUGGAAGCAGCACCAUAUGGACUACAGUACAGCAGUGGAGUAACAACAUUCCUCUCACUGACAGGAUAAGGUCAUAAUGGCACUGUGGAUUUUCAGACUAAAAGGCUGUCUUGGCUCUAAAGUGUACUCAGAGGUUCCAGAUGGUGGUUGGGGUUGGAUUGUGGCUGUGGCCUUUUUCCUGGUGGAGGUGUUCACUUACGGGGUUAUCAAAAGUUUUGGGAUUUUUCUCAAGGACUUAAUGAGUGACUUUGGCGAGAGCAACAGUCGAGUAUCAUGGGUCAUUUCAAUAUGUGUCUUUGUUAUGACUUUCACAGCUCCAUUAUCAUCAGUGCUGAGUAAUCGAUUUGGCUUCCAGCCAGUUGUGAUGUUUGGAGGAUUCCUCAUAUCUCUGGGCACAAUCUCAACAGCAUUCACCAGCUCCAUCAAUCAGAUGUACCUCACUAUUGGGAUUGUGACAGGACUGGGCUACUGUCUGACAUUUCUGCCAACCGUCACAAUCUUGUCCCAGUACUUCAGCAGACGUCGUUCUGUGGUCACAGCCAUGGCCUCAACUGGAGAGUCAUUUGCUAUAUUUGCUUUUGCGCCAGCCUUCACAGCUCUUAAGAACUUCAUUGGCUGGAGGUACACAAUGGUGGUGAUUGGAACGUUACAGGGCAUCACUGUUAUCUGUGGGGCUCUGCUCUGUCCCAUAGUCAUCAAACCAAAGACUUCUCCAACAGAUACUGAGCAGAAGAUCACAUGCUCUCUUCCUGAAGAACAAAUGCAAGGCUCUGCUAGCUCUGGAGAUUCAGGUGCACAGUCACUUGAUGAGCUGAAACGGGGUCUCAAAUCUGGGAAGGAACAGAGAGAAGUGGAACCACUUCAGAUCCAUCCAAAACAACAGAUGUCAACCAAAAAUAAGCUCCUAGAUUUGACUGUACUAAAAGAAUGCAGUUUCUUAUGUUAUUCAGCCUUUGGCCUUUUUGCAACACUGGGCUUUUUCGCCCCACAGUUGUAUGUGGUGGAGCUCAGCGCCAGUUUGGGUACCAAGAGGGACAAAGCUGUCUAUAUGCUGUCAACAAUGGCCAUUGCUGAGAUCUUUGGACGUCUCUCCAUCGGAUGGGUCCUGAACUGGGGGCGUAUCAGGAAGAUCUUCGUACUUCUUGGAUGCGUGUCACUGAUGUGCCUGGUGCUGAUGUUGUUUACUGUGGUAAAUGGCUUCUGGGGACUGGCAGUGUGCUGUGUGCUUUACGGCUUCUUACUUGGGAACAUUGCAUCCACGCACAUCCCAAUGUUGGCCGAGGACGAUGUCGUAGGGAUCCAGAGGAUGCCCUUAGCUGUAGGCGUCUAUGUCUGUAUUCAGAGCUUUGCAGGACUGGCUGGUCCACCAUUAGGAGGUAAGAAGAAUUAAAUGUUUUGAGCUACCAUUCAAAGUUUUGGGGUUGGAAAGACUUUAAUGUUCCAAAUUUUUUUCAUAACUGUUUUCUACUGUUAUAUACGCUGCUAAAAAAUGGAACACUUACUCAUCACAAUCAUAAAAUCAAGUUAUUUAAACUUCAAGGGUAUCAAUCUGUCCAGUUAGGAAGCAUAAGUGAUUGAGAAUCAGUUUCUCCUGCUUUGGUGCAAAUGAAAGUGAUAACAGGUGCACUGGAGAGGCAAAAACAAGACCACCCUCAAAAAGACAAUUGCUCUCUCGUUAUCCUUCCUGACUGAUUUGUCCUUAGUUUUGUGUUUUGUUAGGGUUCUUCUCACUACUUGUAGCAUGAGGCAGUACCUGCAACCCAAUGAGGUUGCACAGGUAGUCCAGCUCCUCUAGGAUGGUACAUACAUGCCAUCACAAGGAUGUUUGGUGUGUCUCCCAGCACAGUCUCAUGAGCAUGGAGGAGAUAGCUGGAGACAGGCCAUUACACGAGGAGAGCUGGACAGGGCUGUAGAAAGGACUGGCAUGGAGAGGUAUGGAGGGCCCAGCAGCAGGACUGCUAUCUGUUCCUUUGUGCAAGGAGGAACAGGAUGAGCACUUCCAGAGCCCUCCAAAAUAGCCUCCAGCAGGCUACUGGUGUGCACUUCUGACCAAACUGACAGAAACAAUCUCUCAGAUGGUGGCAUUAGGGCAGCAUGAGGGUCCUGUUGUGGGACCUGUGCUCACAGACUAGCACCAUGCAUCUUGAUUGGCAUAUGCCAGUGAACACCAGAAUUGGCAGAUCUGCCAUUGGUGCCCCAUUCUGUUCAGGGAUCAGAGCAGGUUCACACUGAGCUCAUGUGACAGACUUGAAAGAGUCAUGGAGAACAUUGUGCUGCCUACACCUUUUCGGUGGUGGUUCAGUGAUGGAAUAUCCUUGGAGGGUCGCAGAGACCUCUAUUUGCUAUCCAAAAGUACCCUUACUGCUGUUAGGUCCUCAGAGCUACUGUCAGAACUUACGCUAGUGCAGUGGGCCCUGGGCUCCUGCUGGUGCAAUACCUGGCCUCAUAUGGCCAGAGUGUGUAGGCAGUUUCUGGAUGACAAAGGUAUUGAUGACAUUGACUGGCCCUCAUGUUCCCCACACCUGAAUCCAAUUGAGAACUUCUGGGACGUUGUAUCAGAGCAUCCCAAGCCACUAAGGAGCACCAGGCAGGAGAAUGUCCAGGAGCUCACUGAUGUCCUGAUCCAGGUCUGGCAGGAGAUGUCCCAGGACAUCCUUCAUCUCAUCAGUAGCAUGCCUAAAUGUUGUCAGGAGUGCAUACUGGCACGUGGGGGCCAUACACACUACUGACUUACAUUUUGAGUUGCUUUGGGGAAAUUCAUGCAAGUUCAAUCAGCAGGUGUCCUUGUGGAUGUUACACAAAAUUACAGGGCUGCAUUCUACUCCUGUGCUGCGGGAAUGGGACUAGGUGCCAUCUUCCUUGGGCUCGUACGUCCAGCUCAACUGUACUCGAGGAGGGACAAUGGACAGAAUAACCC